rnacentral:rRNA from 1 species
UACGGAGGAUCCGAGCGUUAUCCGGAUUUAUUGGGUUUAAAGGGUGCGCAGGCGGAAGAUUAAGUCGGUGGUGAAAUUUUGCAGCUCAACUGUAAAAGUGCCAUUGAUACUGGUUUUCUUGAGUGUGGAUGAAGUAGGCGGAAUUUGUGGUGUAGCGGUGAAAUGCAUAGAUAUCACGAGGAACUCCGAUUGCGCAGGCAGCUUACUAAACCAUAACUGACGCUCAGGCACGAAGGCGUGGGGAUCAAACAGGAUUAGAUACCCU